AGAGUUUGAUCAUGGCUCAGAUUGAACGCUGGCGGCAGGCCUAACACAUGCAAGUCGAACGGUAACAGAAAGCAGCUUGCUGCUUUGCUGACGAGUGGCGGACGGGUGAGUAAUGUCUGGGAAACUGCCUGAUGGAGGGGGAUAACUACUGGAAACGGUAGCUAAUACCGCAUAACGUCGCAAGACCAAAGAGGGGGACCUUCGGGCCUCUUGCCAUCGGAUGUGCCCAGAUGGGAUUAGCUUGUUGGUGGGGUAACGGCUCACCAAGGCGACGAUCCCUAGCUGGUCUGAGAGGAUGACCAGCCACACUGGAACUGAGACACGGUCCAGACUCCUACGGGAGGCAGCAGUGGGGAAUAUUGCACAAUGGGCGCAAGCCUGAUGCAGCCAUGCCGCGUGUAUGAAGAAGGCCUUCGGGUUGUAAAGUACUUUCAGCGGGGAGGAAGGGAGAAAGUUAAUACCUUUGCUCAUUGACGUUACCCGCAGAAGAAGCACCGGCUAACUCCGUGCCAGCAGCCGCGGUAAUACGGAGGGUGCAAGCGUUAAUCGGAAUUACUGGGCGUAAAGCGCACGCAGGCGGUUUGUUAAGUCAGAUGUGAAAUCCCCGGGCUCAACCUGGGAACUGCAUCUGAUACUGGCAAGCUUGAGUCUCGUAGAGGGGGGUAGAAUUCCAGGUGUAGCGGUGAAAUGCGUAGAGAUCUGGAGGAAUACCGGUGGCGAAGGCGGCCCCCUGGACGAAGACUGACGCUCAGGUGCGAAAGCGUGGGGAGCAAACAGGAUUAGAUACCCUGGUAGUCCACGCCGUAAACGAUGUCGACUUGGAGGUUGUGCCCUUGAGGCGUGGCUUCCGGAGCUAACGCGUUAAGUCGACCGCCUGGGGAGUACGGCCGCAAGGUUAAAACUCAAAUGAAUUGACGGGGGCCCGCACAAGCGGUGGAGCAUGUGGUUUAAUUCGAUGCAACGCGAAGAACCUUACCUGGUCUUGACAUCCACGGAAGUUUUCAGAGAUGAGAAUGUGCCUUCGGGAACCGUGAGACAGGUGCUGCAUGGCUGUCGUCAGCUCGUGUUGUGAAAUGUUGGGUUAAGUCCCGCAACGAGCGCAACCCUUAUCCUUUGUUGCCAGCGGUCCGGCCGGGAACUCAAAGGAGACUGCCAGUGAUAAACUGGAGGAAGGUGGGGAUGACGUCAAGUCAUCAUGGCCCUUACGACCAGGGCUACACACGUGCUACAAUGGCGCAUACAAAGAGAAGCGACCUCGCGAGAGCAAGCGGACCUCAUAAAGUGCGUCGUAGUCCGGAUUGGAGUCUGCAACUCGACUCCAUGAAGUCGGAAUCGCUAGUAAUCGUGGAUCAGAAUGCCACGGUGAAUACGUUCCCGGGCCUUGUACACACCGCCCGUCACACCAUGGGAGUGGGUUGCAAAAGAAGUAGGUAGCUUAACCUUCGGGAGGGCGCUUACCACUUUGUGAUUCAUGACUGGGGUGAAGUCGUAACAAGGUAACCGUAGGGGAACCUGCGGUUGGAUCACCU
rnacentral:rRNA from 1 species